rnacentral:lncRNA from 1 species
UCUCUCUCUCUCUUCAACAAGCCGGCGAGGGAAGGAAAACCAGAGAGGGUGAAAAAUGCCAGCUGGUCACGGUCUCCGAUCUCGGACCAGGGAUCUGUUUUCCAGACCCUUCAGAAAGAAGGGUUACAUCCCAUUGUCCACUUAUCUCAGGACCUACAAGAUUGGUGACUAUGUGGACGUCAAGGUAAAUGGCGCCGUCCACAAGGGCAUGCCCCACAAAUUCUACCAUGGCCGCACUGGUCGUGUCUGGAACGUCACCAAGCGCGCCAUCGGCGUUGAGGUCAACAAGCAGGUACUGAAACAACGGUGAAUUAAGUUUUUAUUUGUGGGUUUUUCUUUGUUUGAUGGACUUUCGGUGUAUGAAUCGUUUUGGGGGUUUUCAGUUUCAUUUUGCUUUAUGUAUUAUGUUUAUUUGUAUUUUUGGGUCUCCAUUUCAUUGUUAAAUGAUUCAUCCUACUAAGUCCCGAUAUAGUAUGUAAAGAUGUAGCUAAUUUAGCAGAUUAUGUGCAAUAAGUUUCUUGUUUCUGAAUGCUGUUUGCUGAUGUUUUCUAUGUGGUUGGAAUUGUUUAUUCUGAUUAUCAGAUUGGAUUUGUUUAUCCACUUAUAGUAAUCUGUUCGGUAUGUAUAUUAUGAAAAUCCAUUUUGAAAUAUGGUGUGCUGCUAUUUCAAAGUUAGAUUUCCUUGUGUACGUUACUACUUUCAGCAAUAGUGUAGCCCCUUUGUCAUGUUGGAGUUGCUGUUGAAGGGGAAAAAAUAUGUAUAAUCACUCUUUUGGGAUGAGCGUAGUUUAUAUAUUUCAAUAAGUCGACUUAUCAUGUUGAUUAAAUGGGACGCAACACCCCAGCGUUUCAGCGGUGAUCAUGUGAACAAUAUUGCAAUCUUCACUUGUUGCUAUCGGGCCUUUUUAUAUUCUUUUCCCGGCUGAUUUUUUCAAGCUUGUGCACUGUAUGGGGGGUUGGAAAUUUGUGUAAUUGUUGUAUUAAUAUGCUUCCGGAUUUCAGGUGGGUAACCGGAUUAUCAGGAAGAGGAUUCAUGUCAGAGUGGAGCAUGUUCAGCCUUCAAGGUGCACUGAGGAAUUCAAACUGAGGAAGAUAAAGAAUGAUCAGCUCAAGGCAGAGGCCAAGGCAAAGGGUGAGGUGAUUAGCACAAAGAGGCAGCCUGAGGGCCCAAAACCUGGUUUCAUGGUCGAGGGUGCGAUGUUGGAAACGGUUACUCCCAUUCCAUAUGAUGUUGUUAAUGAUCUCAAGGGUGGCUACUAGAUCUACUCUGUUUUUUGGUUUAUUCUUGGCAUAACUUAAGUAAGCUUUGUUAGUUAUCUUGGAUGUGUUGCUUACGUUUUGUAGUUUAUUUUGAAGAGUUACUGCUUCUGCAAAGAUUUUAAUCUUAUCAAUCAUUUUAUUUUAGAGAUAAAGUUGCCUAAUGAAGUAUAUUUUGUAUGUUUGUUUCUCUUUUCUAUAUUCUUCAAAUUGAUAGCUUUUGGUUUGGUAUCACUAUGCUUUCCAUGCAUAUCCAAAUAUUUGGUAUUAUUGUGCAUAUACAAAUAUUGAUUUUUUUCCCUUUUAACAUUUCUUUAUAACAAAUUUUGAAGUAACAACUGAUCUGUUCCUCUUAGCAUGUUUUUAAGAUAGUGACUUUAUGCAAAUAGGAUUAUGUUGUUGUAUGUAUCUUGACUCUUGAAUAAAAUGGUUUUUUUGCUAUAUUAUUUUUCUUCAAGUUUUUUGCUUUGUUGUGAGAAUGUAAUAAGAUGCUUUUUACAUUAAUUUUUAUUCUCCCAUUAUGCUUUAAAUGUCUUUUAUCUUUUUUUAUUUUUAUAAAUGUUUAAAUUAGUAUUUUGUUUUAAUUGGUUUUUUUAUAUACCAACAAGGAAAAAGAGUUUCAAUUUGCAUAUACAUGUGAUUUGAAUGAUUUUUUUAAUGUUUGCGCAAAUGAAUUGAUGCUCAUGCAUGUAUACUUAUUGAUAUGAUGUUUAAUGCAUAACAUUGGUGGGUUUGGAUGCAUUGAAUUUCAUGAAUGGAUUGAAAGAAUAGAUACGCUAUUUGCAAGUAAAGUUGAGCGGUACCAGAAGCAGUGUCAACUGCUUCACGCAUAAAUGAUGAAUAAUGUACAACAUAGUGAUAUGUUUACAUAGUUUGAUUUAUCCACGUCAACAUGAUGUUGCCCAUAGAGAGUAUCCACUAAUUUAAUACCUCGAACAAAAAGUGAUUAUAAGUUCUAAUACUCACUAGAUUAGAGUCAUACUUUUGCACUUAAGAUCUAGUUCACUCACUUCUAAAUUUUCAAGUAAAAUUGACAUUUAAUGCAUUUCAAAAAAAACAAAAAAAAAGCUCCUUGAUGAACAAAAAUAAGUGCUCUUAGACCACCUAUACAAGUUAGAGGUGCUCAUGGGCUAGGUCGAGCUUAAACAAAAUUUUAGACUCUUUUGCCAGGUUUGUAUAAAAAAAUAGUCUUAAAAUUCCAAAUCUGGCCCAUAUAAAAUGUUAAAACUUGGGUUGAGCCCAAAUACUGUCAAACUCGAGCUUAACCCAAAUUUUAGAGGUCGAUACUCAGCUUCAGCUCGUUCGAACAUCUAGUUUUAUGCUCGAGCUUGGCUCGAGCUUGGCUUGAACUAUAAUCGGGCUACUCAAUUUCGAGCUUGAUUAAGCUCGUUUAUCAAAUUUUGUUCUUGAAGUUGAUUCGAUAAUUAAACUUAGAGUUAAUAAUAUAUAUUAGAGAUAAUAAAGUAAUUUAAUAAUAUAAAUAACAAAACUUGAUAAGUCUCAUGAGCUGUUUGAGUCAAGUAUUUCUAAACUCAAAUUUAGCUCAAACUUAGCUUAAUACUUACUGAAUUGUGUUCGAUUUUAUUUUAAAAUCAAACUUGAGUAACUUGCGAACAGUAAUAUUUCAUUUACACCCCUACUCAACCUAACUUGCCGUACUUGAAUAACUUUUCUUAAUGAAUUUCAAGUUUUAAUGGGUCUAUUGCAAAAACAAGACAAAAAUCCAAAACGAGAAAUCUACAUAUUAGAUGGGCUUUUAUGCCCGGAUGAGCUCCUACAAUGGCGGAUCUGAUCCUUCGUUCUCAAUCAUUCAAAGAAUGAAAUAGGAAUCAAAGCCCAAACCCAAAAAUGUCGAGAGAAAGAUAAACCUGACCAAAAAAGCGACUAUAAAAUGAUCAUAGUUAGGGUUUUAAUCGUCCCUACAGCUCAACGCCUCUAUCUCUAUCUUCUACAAGCCGGCGAGGAAAGGAAAACCUGAGAGGGUGAAAAAUGCCAGCUGGUCACGGUCUCCGAUCUCGGACUAGGGAUCUGUUUUCCAGACCCUUCAGAAAGAAGGGUUACAUCCCAUUGUCCACUUACCUCAGGACCUACAAGAUCGGUGACUAUGUUGACGUCAAGGUAAAUGGUGCCGUUCACAAGGGUAUGCCCCACAAGUUCUACCAUGGCCGCACUGGUUGUGUCUGGAACGUCACC